rnacentral:rRNA from 1 species
GACAGAGGGUGCAAACGUUGUUCGGAAUUACUGGGCGUAAAGCGUGUGUAGGCGGUUUGCUAAGUCGGAUGUGAAAGCCCCGGGCUCAACCCGGGAAGUGCACUCGAAACUGGCAAGCUAGAGUACUGGAGAGGUUGGUGGAAUUCUCGGUGUAGAGGUGAAAUUCGUAGAUAUGCGGAGGAACACCGAUGGCGAAGGCAAUCCCCUGGGCCUGUACUGACGCUCAUGCACGAAAGCGUGGGGAGCAAACAGG